CAAGGCAUGGAACAGAGCCAGGAAAAGUCAAUAUCACCUUCCAAUUAUUAGAACCCCAUUUCACCUCCUAAGGAGAAUGUUGAAAAUACUUCAUAUUAAGCAUGUUGAAAAGAAAUUAUUCUGAAAGAAAAAAAACAAUAGACUCUUGAGAUGGCAGACACGCUCCAUGCACAGGGAGAUGGGAGCAAUYAAGAAGACCUCACAGAAUUCCCAUUGUUCUGGUUCUGAAGCAAUUAUUUGACAGGGACAUGGGAAACCAUAAAGGAGAAGCUCAGCUAAUAACAAUAUAAAGACACUUCUGAUAAAUAGAAA
rnacentral:lncRNA from 1 species